GGGGACGAAAGGGUUCGACAGAGAAGGUUGAGCCCGGACUGCAAGCCGAGGUUGCCAUACCCCUCGUUAAUCAAGUGGCGAAACAAUAACUGGCGAAAACCAGUACGCACUAGCCGCCUAAUCGUGGCUACGUCGGUCCCAGGCCUCCCCUCGACGGGCCGGGUCCGGCGCCGUGAAGUCGGGGUGCGGUCUCCCAGACGCCGAUAACGGAGGCCCAAGACUUAAUCGGCUGGCCCGUCGGUUACUCCGUCGGCGGAGGUACGCCGGGCGAGACCCAAACGCCGGCUAAGCUUGUAGAGGUCCUGGUGGGUCUUCCUCUGGACGAGGGGUUCAAUUCCCCUCCGUCUCCACCA
rnacentral:tmRNA from 1 species